CAUUGAUGUUACAGCCUCCUCUUCCAAUAACUCUGGAAAUUACUGUUGAUGGGACAGAAACCUUCUUUGAUCUAUACAGCAGAAAAAAGUAUUAAGUCAACUGGAGAAGUUUCAAUGAUCUGAAAUAAGUGUUGAAGGCAACCCUCAAUAUGGAAAACUGCAAGAAAUCUCUGAGUGCAGCAAACAUCUCCCAGUAGCAGAAGGCAGGGAGAAGGUGUAACAAAUUAAAAAGAGGAUCUGAACUAAACAUUCAUCACAACAGCAUGAGAGAUAAUGACAUCAACAUCUCAAGUGGAAGCAGGGAGGUGUCCUUCCUUGCCUUGUCAGAAAACUCUUGCAGGAUGAACAAGAACCCUGACCUCAGGUGUUAGUAGACAAGUAAAAAACUAUUUUUCAAAUCAUUUGUUUUUAACAUUUGUCAUUUUUAAAAUCAGCUACAUAUUCUGUUAUUUCUAGUCUACUCCUGAGAAAUGCUGAAGAAUCAACAAUUGCCACUGAUA